CGCGGGGUGGAGCAGCUCGGUAGCUCGCUGGGCUCAUAACCCAGAGGUCGCAGGUUCAAAUCCUGUCCCCACUA
rnacentral:tRNA from 1 species